GAAUCAGUCGUUGAAUAUUUCAGUAUCAUCAGCAGCAAAUUCAGCAGCACCAAUUCAAGGCAGCAGAGCUUCAGCAGCACCAUGUCCAAGUAGCAGUACUUUAGAUAGAGACCCCUUGUUUGUGACAAGUCUUCAAAACCUCAAAAUGAAGUAGUCAACCAUUUCACAAAAAUGCCACAGAAAAAGUCUUAAAGAGCUACAAAUGGAGUUCUACAAAGUCUCUAUACAAAAUGAGAGGGAAAAGUUCAAACUCAUACAAGAACAGACA
rnacentral:lncRNA from 1 species